GAUGUCCUGUCCCCUUCCUCAUAAGGGACUGCGGAUGGCUGCUGGGGCUACUGAGGCGUGAUGCUAUCACAGCCUUGAUUUCUUCCCCUCCAUAGGGCUGAGGAGUGUGGGGGUAUAAGAAAUACCAAGAAGGGAAAUGUGGGCUUUUUUUCUGGCUGCAAGCCCGAACACAGCAGAGAACGCAACAGAGAGAGCUCCGGAAAGAGUGAAGAGCCAUGUGUCUCUUCCAUUUCAGAAUGGCUCAGGAGCCAGAGGGAGAGCCACUGCUCCCCACAGGGAAAUACGGAGCUGGCAAGUCAGCAAGCUAUAUCCCCUGCUCUCUUGGGCCUCACAACGAUGACACGGAACUAGGAUGACCUGGAGAAAGGAGAAUACUGGAUGGAUGACAAAUGUCCUGUCCUGGAUAAGGUCUGGGACAGUGAGGUCAGGAUGGUGGAGAGAGGGUGGCUUGGUACCAAGCCACAUGCACAAACUCUCUCAUUCUCCUACUAACACUCCAAGAUGUUUCAGGAUACUUACUUCUGAUCUCAUGGCGGGGCAUCACACCAGACCCAUUACAUGCAUGCUGGGAGAACAGAGCAACCUUCAAUCCCUAUACACGGGCUACUUAACCCUCUUGGUCUCCUCUUUCUGGCAGAAGGAGCACAGAGCAGCCAGGCGUGAGCUGUGAGAAGAUGAGGCAUCUGCAGAUGAAGUUCUGAUGCACCCACUCAUGGAGGCCAAGCUAUCCCUCCUGCAAGUCCUGCCCCGAUAAGGCUUCUCCCACCGGCUUCCCAUGGGCUUUCUGAGACUGUUUUCCAGAUGGGCUCAGGGGUCCCUCAAAUGAGGCAGCGUGGGGGAAAGACUGAAAGAACUCCGCAGGGUCACACAGAGUGCCUAGAGACCAAGGCACCAGCAUAAAGGCUACAUUUGUGAGGAGCAACAGAAAGACAGCCAAGCACUGAGGAGCAGGUGGAAGACCUGCUGGUCGUCUAACCUAUUGAUGACCCUCGAUGUGUUUAAAGAGGAAAAGAAGAUGCAUAUGAAGUCCCUGAGGAUCCUGGGAAAAAGUUGGAUGCUCUAGGAGUGGCCAGAGAGAAUACAGGAUGCACUUGGAACAUUUUGUACCAGAAAGCAAAAGAGAACCCCAAGAUUGAUAGAGCCAUGGCCAAAAGACCUACAUAGGAGCCAAUUCAAACUGCUCACACUGGCCAGACCUGGUGACCUGCGCAUCAAAAGCUAUGAUACUGACAGGGGAUGGGGAAGGGGCCCAAAGCUGCAUCAUUCAGUAAUAAUGUUCAUGAAAGAACAGAGGGCUAAGGAAAGUGUUUCUUUACAAGAAUUCUAGGUGAUACAUACAGAGUGGUUCUAUAAUACAAAACCUUAAUUUUCUAACCCACAGUAUUAUCAUUGGCAUAAGCAGGAGUCGUUAAUAGACGAUAGAGUCAGUAGGUGAAGAUUAAAAAGAUGUCUAUACAGGGACAGAGUGUUGCCCCACAAACUGCUUAUUAAUUAAAAGUGGAAAGUAUA